rnacentral:lncRNA from 1 species
AGGGUAAACACCAUCCUUAGGGUGCAAAUACUGAACCUCCCCAUUAGGGAAGACCCUGUAGAACUGGUACUUGAUCUUGUACUUGGACCUGAGCCUAGUCCCAAGAGCCAAGCACUGCUCCUUCCUGGCCAACUUGAGAAGGUUAGGACCCUCCCUCAUGAUAGCGGCGCCGCCAGUGGGCAUUUCAAAGAUCUGUUCUUUGGGUGAGUCCCACGUAAUGACAUAAAACUCCUCCACCUGUGCCUUGCGCAGGAGCCCGCCGGUGCUGCCCCCGAAGAUCGGGGAAGGGGUGUUUGGGUCAAGUUCUGGUGGGGUGAACCCGACCGGUGCAGCCUCUACUUUUGCUGGUGCCUCUGUGGUCUCGUCGGCGGCUGCUGCUCUGAUUGUUCUGGAGAACUUGAGGGGCUUCGGGCUGGAGAAGGAGAGGCUGGAGUUUUGCUUCCAUGGCACGGAGGCGCGGUCGCUGGCUUUGAGACCGGAGAGGGGUGGGGUUAAGAGAGAGGCUUGGGUUGCCAUUGCCAUGGUUGCUU